GACGUAGGGCGCGAGCGUUGUCCGGAUUUAUUGGGCGUAAAGAGCUCGUAGGCGGCUUGUCGCGUCGACUGUGAAAUCCCGAGGCUCAACCUCGGGCCUGCAGUGGGGUACGGGCAGACUAGAGUGCGGUAGGGGAGAUUGGAAUUCCUGGUGUAGCAGUGGAAUGCGCAGAUAUCAGGAGGAACACCGAUGGCGAAGGCAGAUCUCUGGGCCGUAACUGACGCUGAGGAGCGAAAGCGUGGGGAGCGAACAGG
rnacentral:rRNA from 1 species